UACAGAGGGGGCAAGCGUUGUUCGGAAUUACUGGGCGUAAAGGGCGCGUAGGCGGCCUGCUAAGUCGAACGUGAAAUCCCCGGGCUCAACCCGGGAACUGCGUCCGAUACUGGGAGGCUUGAAUCCGGGAGAGGGAUGUGGAAUUCCAGGUGUAGCGGUGAAAUGCGUAGAUAUCUGGAGGAACACCGGUGGCGAAGGCGGCCUGCUGGGCUAUGGCUGACACUGAGGCGCGACAGCGUGGGGAGCAAACAGG
rnacentral:rRNA from 1 species